rnacentral:lncRNA from 1 species
UGUGCCUGUAGAGUAGAAAGAAAAAACAAAUCUUCACUGAUAUGACCUUGAUUCUUGCCUCCCUCUAGACUCCACAGGCAAAAAGAAGUGGAACUGGUGUGCUUGCAGCUUCCUUCAUGGCCUCUAAGGGUAGAAGGGACGAAAACGAUGCUGAACACGGGAAGGUACAGUGAGAGACUGGGGCCCAGCCACCUUUGAAAACCAAGGUGUGCCACGUUACAAGAGCUAAAACUGUCUGAUAAAAUGGACUUUUUAAAAUGUUCCAGUGAAGAUGAUAGAAAUUCUGGGGCCUCGAAUGCAUUCUUACAAAGAACAUAUUAUGGGAAAACUCUCCUAACCAUCACAGCUUUUCAGCAAUGGGAGAAGUGGGGUAAAACACCUUACUUCAGAAAAGCAUGCACU